rnacentral:sRNA from 1 species
CGGGAGACCGGGGUUCGAUUCCCCGCCGGAG